rnacentral:rRNA from 1 species
AGCGAACGCUGGCGGCAGACUUAACACAUGCAAGUCGAGCGGGCACUUUCGGGUGUCAGCGGCGGACGGGUGAGUAACGCGUGGGAACGUGCCCUCUGGUUCGGAAUAACUCAGGGAAACUUGAGCUAAUACCGGAUACGCCCUUUUGGGGAAAGGCUUGCUGCCGGAGGAUCGGCCCGCGUCUGAUUAGCUAGUUGGUGAGGUAACGGCUCACCAAGGCGACGAUCAGUAGCUGGUCUGAGAGGAUGAUCAGCCACACUGGGACUGAGACACGGCCCAGACUCCUACGGGAGGCAGCAGUGGGGAAUAUUGGACAAUGGGCGCAAGCCUGAACCAGCCAUGCCGCGUGAGUGAUGAAGGCCUUAGGGUUGUAAAGCUCUUUUAUCCGGGACGAUAAUGACGGUACCGGAGGAAUAAGCCCCGGCUAACUUCGUG